rnacentral:rRNA from 1 species
UACAACAGAUAUAAUCUACAUGUUCUUACUUUUAAACGGAUAACUGCGGUAAUUCUGGAGCCAAUACGUGCCUAAAGGGGUGUUCAGCAAUGAGCAUUCUGCACUUAUCGGAGCAAAACUAAUCUUGUUUUAUGCUAACUCUGGAUAACCAAGCUUAUCGCACGUCUUCGGACGGCGAAGUAACAUUCGAGUAUCUGCCCUAUCAUCUAUCGUAGGUAGUGUAUUGGACUACCCAGGAGGUCACGGGUAACGGAGAAUCAGGGUUCGACUCCGGAGAGGGAGCCUUAGAAACGGCUACCAUUUCUAAGGAAAGCAGCAGGCGCGCAACUUAUCCACUGUCCACUAGGACGAGAUAGUGACGAGAAAUAACAAGUUCGUUCUCUUUGAGGUCGAACAUUGGAAUGGACCGAAUUUAAAAGAUUCGGUGAGUACCCACGAGAGGGCAAGUCUGGUGCCAGCAGCCGCGGUAAUUCCAGCUCUCGUAAUGUAUAGAAUUAUUGUUGCGGUUAAAAAGUUCGUAGUUGGAUUUCAUACCACUUGCAGGUAGUGUUUAACGAUGCUUACUUGCGGUGGUGUUUACAUCGAGUCGAGUUCACUUGGCUAGAUGUGGAUUACUUUGAACGGCUUAAGUGCUCAAGGCGAGUCUUCGGACUGAAUACCGGUGCAUGGAAUAAUGGAACAAGGUUUCGGCUGAGUUUUAUUGGUUUUGUCGGCAGAGACAAUGGUUAACAGGAACAGCUGGGGGCACUCGUAUCCCGGCGCGAGAGGUGAAAUUCGUGGACCGUCGGGAGACGCCCUAAAGCGAAAGCAUUUGCCAAGAGUGUUUUCAUUAAUCAAGAACGAAAGUCAGAGGUUCGAAA